GCGCCUGUAGCUCAGUGGAUAGAGCAAUGGUCUCCGGAACCAUGUGCGGGGGUUCGAUUCCCUUCAGGCGUACCA
rnacentral:tRNA from 3 species